GAUGAACGCUGGCGGCGUGCCUAAUACAUGCAAGUCGAGCGAAUGGAUUAAGAGCUUGCUCUUAUGAAGUUAGCGGCGGACGGGUGAGUAACACGUGGGUAACCUGCCCAUAAGACUGGGAUAACUCCGGGAAACCGGGGCUAAUACCGGAUAACAUUUUGAACCGCAUGGUUCGAAAUUGAAAGGCGGCUUCGGCUGUCACUUAUGGAUGGACCCGCGUCGCAUUAGCUAGUUGGUGAGGUAACGGCUCACCAAGGCAACGAUGCGUAGCCGACAUGAGAGGGUGAUCGGCUACACUGGGACUGAGACACGGCCCAGACUCCUACGGUAGGCAGCAGUAGGGAAUCUUCCGCAAUGGAAGAAAGUCUGACGGAGCAACGCCGCGUGAGUGAUGAAGGCUUUCGGGUCGUAAAACUCUGUUGUUAGGGAAGAACAAGUGCUAGUUGAAUAAGCUGGCACCUUGACGGUACCUAACCAGAAAGCCACGGCUAACUACGUGCCAGCCGCCGCAGUAA
rnacentral:rRNA from 1 species